rnacentral:misc_RNA from 1 species
ACAAGUUGCCAUCCUUCUCUUCAAAUCUGGUUAAAUGCCAUAGUUAAUAUUAGCUUUAAAACAAUUGUGGGAAUUAAACAACGGACAAAUGGAAUUUUCAGGGGAGAUCUUCAAGUGAACGUUAUUUUUUGCAAACUUUUUCAGUUGGAAUACAAAACUUUGUUGAUAUUUUAAUUUAUUUUAUAAAAAAAAAAUGGAAAAUUAUAGAGGAAAUAUAAUGUCCUUUCUUUGAAAUGGACAUGUGUAGAAUUGUUACUUGAGAAUUCUCCAAAGAAAUGUUGUGAAGUAACAAAAGUUCAAUAAAUAUUUACCCUUGU